rnacentral:rRNA from 1 species
ACUCCUACGGGAGGCAGCAGUGGGGAAUAUUGCACAAUGGGCGCAAGCCUGAUGCAGCCAUGCCGCGUGUAUGAAGAAGGCCUUCGGGUUGUAAAGUACUUUCAGCAGUGAGGAAGGUGGAUAUGUUAAUAGCAUAUUCAUUUGACGUUAGCUGCAGAAGAAGCACCGGCUAACUCCGUGCCAGCAGCCGCGGUAAUACGGAGGGUGCGAGCGUUAAUCGGAAUUACUGGGCUAAAGCGCAUGCAGGUGGUUUGUUAAGUCAGAUGUGAAAGCCCGGGGCUCAACCUCGGAAUUGCAUUUGAAACUGGCAAACUAGAGUAACUGUANAGGGGGGUAGAAUUUCAGGUGUAGCGGUGAAAUGCGUAGAGAUCUGAAGGAUACCGGUGGCGACGGCGGCCCCCUGGACAGAUACUGACACUCAGAUGCGAAAGCUGGGGAGCAAACAGGAUUAGAUACCCUGGUAGGCUCU